AGCGCUGAGCCAGAACUGUGCUUGGUCCAUAGGAGGCUGACCAGCGGCAACAGAGCCUGAUUUCUGAGUUAUCGCUGAGGAUGAAACUGACGUGGAGGGUACGGUGAAUGGUGUCACACAAACAAGCACUGGUGGCAGGACCAUGGAUAGCUCCACAGGAAGCAAGGCUAGGCCUGAGGCUGGGGAGGACAAGGAGGGAUUCCUUUCCAAACUUAAGAAAAUGUUUACUUCCUGAUAUCCCAGCUGAGGAAAACGAUCCACUGGAAACUAGGCCAGGAGCAGCAGCCCUUCCUUGUGGCCAGGACCUCAAGACAGGAGAAUCUCAGAGCAGCAGCACUGAACCUCUGCCUAUAGAGGCCUCUGACUGCUUGACAACAGCAAAACCAUAUGAUGACACCUGUACAUGGAGAAAGGUCACGGUGGACAGCUGUGGGCAGUCAAAUGUAGCACCCAAAUGUGGGUGGAAGUUUUCUGUCCACAGGUAGAUGACUUGCCUAUUCUGACUCAGGCAGGGUAAGACACUUGGACUCUCCUUGCAGUGCUAAACUCUAAUUUGGAAUCAAAUAUGGUGGACAUCUUAGUUAAAGAAUUAAAGACCAUGCUUACAGCUUAAAAAUGAAGCCUUAAGCUGCACCAAGUUGUGAAGUGAUUAAUGUUCCUCACAGUAAAACUCCAGAGACUCCAGAAUAAGUCCUUCCUGACAGAUGAUCUUUAGGAGCCAGAAGCUACAAACCCCUCCAGCAUCAUCCUCCCCCCAGCAGGCUCUGUUAAGGCCUCAGUUGCUCCUCUUGUGUUUUUAGUUCCUCAAGGUACCAAACAGCUGGAAAGUGAGUGCUGGGGCCUGCGGAAGCAUACCUGAAGGGUAGACAGUCCUUCUUAUCCCACCUGAGAUGGCUACUUGUCUGUCUGCUGAGUUCUGCUGUAGCAGCCUGGUGUGGCAGGGACUUCUACUCUUCUGUUGAGCUAUUGCCACCAUAGCCAGGCCAGGCAGACUUCAGCUGGUAGGGGUCCUAGAGCUGCUUCAAUUGAGGGCUUUGUUCUCCCCACUUACACUGUUGACAUCUAUUUUCCAAAGUGUGUUUAGAUUGCUCAUUGCUAAGAAUCAUUGUCUUUUCCUGUGUUAAUGUUUGUUUAAGUGAGGAAAGCACAGUGUAAGCUGGUAAAGGCUCCUCACUGUGCACCAGAGCAAAUGGCCUAUCCCCAGCCUCUGCUGAUAGCAUGUUGCAAUGUCCAUGUGUUUCAGGGUCCUUGAGCUAGCAUAAGACAGGUUAAUGAAGAAUAUUUCUUAGUAGUUCCUUUUUGUUUUCCUUUUCAAUUUACAAAAGUAAAGCAUUUAUUAAUGUCUGACUUAAGAAUGUAAAAUGAUUCUGUAUCAAUGUAAAUAAGAUUAUCUACUGCAAAAGAUAUUUAAAACCUUAAUUGUGGUCAUUUCUUUUUUGAAAAAAUUCAAAAGUUCACCUUCUGCAGGUGGCUCUGCAGAGGGUGGCUGGAGAGUCAGCUGCCUUUACCCUCAAGGUCAUGCCUACUCCCCCACCCCCUAGCUUGCUGAAUCCAGGGCACUGACCCACACUGCAUGCUCAGAGCAGGCAGGCAGUAAAUAUUUUAUUGAACAAAACAUUGGGGGAGUAUUCCAAGUUUGCAGAAUGUCACUGUUGAGCCUUUUUUAUCCAUCAGCUCUUUCCCAAUCUUUUCUCCACCCAGUCCAGUGAACACUCUCUCACCUCUCCCUGCUCAGUCCAGAACACCAGGCAGGGUAUGUGUAAGCCAGGCAUCAGAGCUCUGCUUGGAGCCCAGACUAGUUAAGCUAAAAUUUUAAUGUAAAAAAUGCAAAGACUCUGAAAAUAAUUCAGGAAGAAAAAAAUAUCAAUAGAGGGCAUAGUAUGUGUAGAUCCUAGUGAGCCCAUGCUCAUCUUAUAGCAGGGAGGAGGAUCAAAAGAAAACAGACGAGGCCUGAGUUCUGAUAAAGUAGCAGGGAGGUAGGGAUGGAAAACCAGGGAGAUAAAACCUGAGGAAUCUGAAUGUGGAGAGGGUCACAUAACACUUGGGAGGGGGAAAGUUACAUAACACUAGGGUAAAGUAGCCUAUAGAAUUGAAUAUAACCAUAUAUGGAUUAGAUCUUGCUUUUUGCUUCUGUAACCUGCUUGCAAGGUGAGACCCCUUCGUUCUCAGGGCUCAGUCUUUGGAUACGAGUCUGCUGGGUCUGUGCCAGCACAAUAAAAUGUUGCUUCCUGCUAAACUGCCUCA
rnacentral:lncRNA from 1 species